rnacentral:ncRNA from 1 species
UUGUUAUCAAGAAAGGCAGAGGGAAUGGACCCUGUGAAGCCUUAGCAACCCUUUAUUUUAUAGAGAAGGUGCUAAAUUCUACCAAUAUGGAUAGAUAACCA